AACGAACGCUGGCGGCAUGCCUAACACAUGCAAGUCGAACGAGACCUUCGGGUCUAGUGGCGCACGGGUGCGUAACGCGUGGGAACCUGCCCUUAGGUUCGGAAUAACUCAGAGAAAUUUGAGCUAAUACCGGAUAAUGUCUUCGGACCAAAGAUUUAUCGCCUUUGGAUGGGCCCGCGUAGGAUUAGCUUGUUGGUGGGGUAAUGGCCUACCAAGGCGACGAUCCUUAGCUGGUCUGAGAGGAUGAUCAGCCACACUGGGACUGAGACACGGCCCAGACUCCUACGGGAGGCAGCAGUGGGGAAUAUUGGAAAAUGGGCGAAAGCAUGAUCCAGCAAGGCCGCGUGAGUGAUGAAGGCCUUAGGGUUGUAAAGCGCUUUUACCAGGGAUGAUAAUGACAGUACCUGGAGAAUAAGCACCGGCUAACUACGUG
rnacentral:rRNA from 1 species